rnacentral:tRNA from 1 species
GCUCCUAUAGCUCAAUUGAAUAGAGCAACAGCCUUCAUACAGUGUGAUGAACUGCAAAUCAUUUCAACUAAGUAAUGGUUCGACUCCAUUACUUAGUACUAAGCUGUGUGUUUCCAGUUUGAAUCUGGAUGGGAGCA